rnacentral:rRNA from 1 species
CUAAUUACGGAGACAUGUGCACGCCUGGCUCAUUCCACUCUUCAACCUCUGUGAACUUAUUGUAGGUCGGUUGAAAGGUCGGUUCAGUAAAAUGAAUUGGCUGGAAGACCUUCCUAUGUUUUUACUACAAACGCUUCAGUUAUAGAAUGUCUUUUACUGCGUAUAACACAUCUAUAUACAACUUUCAGCAACGGAUCUCUUGGCUCUCGCAUCGAUGAAGAACGCAGCGAAAUGCGAUAAGUAAUGUGAAUUGCAGAAUUCAGUGAAUCAUCGAAUCUUUGAACGCACCUUGCGCUCCCUGGUAUUCCGGGGAGCAUGCCUGUUUGAGUAUCAUGGAAUUCUCAACCUUCAGUACUUUUUUGUAUUCGAAGGCUUGGACUUGGAGGCUUGUGCUGGCCCUUUGUUAGUCGGCUCCUCUGAAAUACAUUAGCGUGAAUCACUAUGGAUCGCUUCGGUGUGAUAAUUAUCUGCGCCGUGGUCGUGAAGUAUUAAUUCAAGUUCGCGCUUCUAAUCGUCCUUUCAAUGGGACAAUUAACCUUGAACUUUUGAUCUCAAAUCAGGUAGGACUACCCGCUGAACUUAAGCAUAUCAAUAAGCGGAGGA